GUGUGAUGCGUCCAGUGUGGUAGUGUAGUGGGUUAAACUUGUCACUUUCACUUUCAGCUUCUGCCACCAACUAUCAGUCUUGUGAAAAGGAGAGCUGAAUACACAUGUCCCUCCCUUCCAGAUCAUAGGCUCUCCAACAGCAGGCCUCAUGCAGUGCCUCCUCACUGGCGACACAUGCAAAACUGGACACCUUUCAGAACCCGGCUGAACUACUGAGGAUGGGGAGGAGGUCUGGCCCCUGCAGCCAUAGCACCCAGGCCCACCGGUGUGUGGACAGGCCCUAGUGCUCGUGAACCAGAUCCCCAGAUGUGGUUGAUCUAAAGAACACGGCGAAUAAAUUCCUCCAUCGAUACCUAUUAGGAGCUAAUACACAGUAGUAAUAAUAAUAUAGAGGCCAAGCUGUGAGAUUCGGGUCACUCUUGCUUUCAAAGGCCAGUCUCUGUGUUAUUGAUACUCCCAUUGCUGCAGUGGGAACUAUCCACUUGUAAUUGCACCAGUAUCAGGGAUAAACAGUUAAAGGCAUCUUUUCCAGGAAAGGUCAACAUCUGCUGUGAAUGGCAAUGCAAAUUUCUUACAUACUUUGAAGAUGAAUAUGUAAUAGAUUACCUUCAUUAAAGAACAGCAUUAAUUCAGAAGACUGAAAGCACCUUCUGCUUUUAAACUCAGUAAUUCACAUCAAGCCUUUUUCAUCAAUACUAAAGGUAAUUGAGAGCAUCCUAUCUAGAUGCAUCACAGCUUGGUCUGGCAACUGCUUUGCAAGAAACUGCAAAAAAUGAUGGACACAGCUCAGUGCAUCACAGAAACCAGCCAUCCUACCAUAGAUUCUGGUUCACUUCAUGAUGUCUUGUUAAAACACCCAACAUAAUUGAGGACCCCACCCACACACAGUGUUCUUUCUUCGCACCCCCCACCCCCCACCACCUUCCAGGCUCUAGGAUAAUUUCUAUCACACUGUUAUGCGGCUAUUGAAUGGUUCCCUGGUGUGAUAAAAUGGACUCUUGACCUUAUAAUGUACUUUGUUAAGACCUUGUAUCUUAUUAUUGACUUGCACUGCGCACUCUCUGUAAUUGUAAGACUCUAUUCUGCACUCUGUCAUUGUUUUACCUGCAUUACACCACAUUGUAAUCAAUUAGUAUGAACACUAUGUAAGGUAAAUUUUUUCCUAUUGCACCUUAGUACACGACAAUAAUAAACCAUUUUACUAUUUACUAUUUGCUGCAUUCGGAUUGUAUAUUUCUACG